rnacentral:lncRNA from 1 species
CGAAGCCUGGGAGCAUUACGCCGCACACCAAGUUCGAGGCCAUUGUUUAUGUUUUGAAGAAGGAGGAAGGUGGGAGGCACUCGCCUUUCUUUCCAGGGUACAGGCCUCAGUUUUACAUGAGAACCACCGACGUGACGGGAAAGGUGACCUCCAUCAUGAACGACAAGGACGAGGAGUCCAAGAUGGUGAUGCCUGGUGACCGUGUUAAGAUUAUCGUCGAGCUCAUUGUGCCUGUCGCCUGCGAACAGGGAAUGAGGUUCGCCAUUAGAGAAGGAGGGAAGACCGUUGGUGCUGGUGUUAUCCAAUCCAUUAUCGAGUGAAUUCUCAAACUCCUCCCCUCCAUUUUUC